rnacentral:rRNA from 1 species
GUAUUCCACCUGGGGAGUACGACCGCAAGGUUGAAACUCAAAGAAUUGACGGGGGCCCGCACAAGCAGUGGAUUAUGUGGUUUAAUUCGACGCAACGCGAAGACCUUACCAGGACUUGACAUCCAACUAACGAAGUAGAGAUACAUUAGGUGCCCUUCGGGGAAGUUGAGACAGGUGGUGCAUGGUUGUCGUCAGCUCGUGUCGUGAGAUGUUGGGUUAAGUCCGCAACGAGCGCAACCCCUAUUGUUAGUUGCUACGCAAGAGCACUCUAGCGAGACUGCCUUGACAAAACGGAGGAAGGCGGGGACGACGUCAAAUCAUCAUGCCCCUUAUGUCCUGGGCACACACGUAAUACAAUGGUGGUUAACAGAGGGAAGCAAAACCGCGAGGUGGAGCAAAUCCUAAAAGCCAUCUCAGUUCGGAUUGCAGGCUGCAACUCGCCUGCAUGAAGCUGGAAUUGCUGUAAUCGCGGAUCAGCAUGCCGCGGUGAAUACGUUCCCGGGCCUUGCACACACCGCCCGU